GGGGGGUCGCACUUCGCUGGAGCUGGUUCACGAGCCGCUGGCAGUGAAGUGGUGGGGAAAGCGCGGGACCGGAAGGAGGGACGCGGGGCUCCAGGACUUCAGCACUUUCAGGCUAAUACUGGAUGCACACGAAAUCACAUGUUGAGCAAAUAUGUGGGUGGAUCGGUCAGUAUCAGAUAAUAACUGGGCUUAAGGAAAAUAAGUUUCAAGUCAUACUUGCUUAAAAGAGAUCUUCUUAGUCAAAAGGCUACAUUGCUUAAACAGUGAGAAAAAUCCAUGAAUAGAUGGAUUUCAUAAUGACCAAAAAAAAGAAAAGGAAAGAAGGAAUCGUGAGUCACCCACGGAGGAUGCCAGGGAACUGUGACAUAAUAAGAAAUGUGUAUUUGGUGUCUACACUGGCUUCCUGGCCAGAGCUCCUGAAACACUUGGAAUUUCUUGAGUGAUCGGGUAAAAUGAGGCCUCUUUGCUUAUUUAU